rnacentral:rRNA from 1 species
ACACAUGCAAGUCGAACGGCUCUUCGGAGCUAGUGGCGACGGGUGAGUACGCGUGAGGAUCUGCUUCAGGAGGGGGAUACGACGUGGAAAGGGUCGCUAAUACCGCAUAUGCCUACGGGUGAAAGAUUAUCGGGUGGAGAUGACUUCGCGUCAGAUAAGCUAGUUGGUGGGGUAAGAGCCUACCAAGGCGACGAUCUGUAGCUGGUCUGAGAGGAUGUCAGCCACACUGGGACUGAGACACGGCCCAGACUCCUACGGGAGGCAGCAGUGGGGAAUUUUCCGCAAUGGGCGCAAGCCUGACGGAGCAAGACCGCGUGCGGGAUGACGGCCUAAUGGUUGUAAACCGCUUUUCUCUGGGAAGAUGAUGACGGCCCCAGAGGAAUCAGCCUCGGCUAACUCCGUGCCAGCAGCCGCGGUAAUACGGAGGAGGCAAGCGUUAUCCGGAAUUAUUGGGCGUAAAGCGUCCGUAGGUGGUUAUUCAAGUCUGCUGUCAAAGCGUGGGGCUUAACUCCAUAGAGGCAGUGGAAACUGGAUGACU